UACGAAGGGGGCUAGCGUUGCUCGGAAUUACUGGGCGUAAAGGGAGCGUAGGCGGACAUUUAAGUCAGGGGUGAAAUCCCGGGGCUCAACCUCGGAAUUGCCUUUGAUACUGGGUGUCUUGAGUAUGAGAGAGGUGUGUGGAACUCCGAGUGUAGAGGUGAAAUUCGUAGAUAUUCGGAAGAACACCAGUGGCGAAGGCGACACACUGGCUCAUUACUGACGCUGAGGCUCGAAAGCGUGGGGAGCAAACGGG
rnacentral:rRNA from 1 species